rnacentral:lncRNA from 1 species
GAAGAAAACAAGUUAAUAUAUGUGGAGAAAGAUUAUAUAUACAUUGAGUCGGACCCACUUAGAUCAAAAUCUAUACCAUAUUAAAAAGAUAAUAUUUAAAUUUGAAAUUAAUUCAAAUUGAUUUCAAAAUUGAGUGGCAAUUUUAGAGUUAUAAUAAAAUUGAAGGUUUAUUUAUAAACUAUAUAAUUUUUUUUUUUCUUCUUAUUUCAUUUUUUUCUUUUUCUGUUUUGUUUCUUUCUAAAAUUAUGAAAUUCGACUAAUCAUAAAAUAUUUAAAUAUGCAUAUCAAAUUCAAGAUCACCAUAAGCGCUUUAAUUUAUUAUAUUUUAUGUAAAUAUUUGAUUUGAAAUGUAAAAGUUAUAUUCAUUUAAAGAUUAAUUAAAAAAACUCUCUUUUCCCUCAUUUUUU